AGUAACGAUAAAGCGGGUGAAAAGCCCGCUCGCCGGAAGACCAAGGGUUCCUGUCCAACGUUAAUCGGGGCAGGGUGAGUCGACCCCUAAGGCGAGGCCGAAAGGCGUAGUCGAUGGGAAACAGGUUAAUAUUCCUGUACUUGGUGUUACUGCGAAGGGGGGACGGAGAAGGCUAUGUUGGCCGGGCGACGGUUGUCCCGGUUUAAGCGUGUAGGCUGGUUUUCCAGGCAAAUCCGGAAAAUCAAGGCUGAGGCGUGAUGACGAGGCACUACGGUGCUGAAGCAACAAAUGCCCUGCUUCCAGGAAAAGCCUCUAAGCAUCAGGUAACAUCAAAUCGUACCCCAAACCGACACAGGUGGUCAGGUAGAGAAUACCAAGGCGCUUGAGAGAACUCGGGUGAAGGAACUAGGCAAAAUGGUGCCGUAACUUCGGGAGAAGGCACGCUGAUAUGUAGGUGAAGUCCCUCGCGGAUGGAGCUGAAAUCAGUCGAAGA
rnacentral:rRNA from 1 species